rnacentral:tRNA from 1 species
GGGGAUGUAGCUCAGCGGUAGAGCACUUGCCUGGCACGUGUUGGGCCCUGGGCUCCAUCUCCA